rnacentral:rRNA from 1 species
GCAUAUCAAUAAGCGGAGGAAAAGAAACCAACAGGGAUUGCCCUAGUAACGGCGAGUGAAGCGGCAACAGCUCAAAUUUGAAAUCUGGCUUUCGGGCCCGAGUUGUAAUUUGUAGAGGAUGAUUUUGAUGCGGUGCCUUCCGAGUUCCCUGGAACGGGACGCCAUAGAGGGUGAGAGCCCCGUCUGGUUGGAUGCCAAAUCUCUGUAAAUCUCCUUCGACGAGUCGAGUAGUUUGGGAAUGCUGCUCUAAAUGGGAGGUAUAUGUCUUCUAAAGCUAAAUACCGGCCAGAGACCGAUAGCGCACAAGUAGAGUGAUCGAAAGAUGAAAAGCACUUUGAAAAGAGAGUUAAAAAGUACGUGAAAUUGUUGAAAGGGAAGCGUUUAUGACCAGACUUGGGCUUGGUUAAUCAUCUGGGGUUCUCUCCAGUGCACUUUUCCAGUCCAGGCCAGCAUCAGUUUUCGCCGGGGGAUAAAGGCUUCGGGAAUGUGGCUCCCCUCGGGGAGUGUUAUAGCCCGUUGUGUAAUACCCUGGUGGGGACUGAGGUUCGCGCUUCUGCAAGGAUGCUGGCGUAAUGGUCAUCAACGACCCGUCUUGAAACACGGACCAAGGAGUCGUCUUCGUAUGCGAGUGUUCGGGUGUCAAACCCCUACGCGUAAUGAAAGUGAACGCAGGUGAGAGCUUCGGCGCAUCAUCGACCGAUCCUGAUGUUCUCGGAUGGAUUUGAGUAAGAGCAUACGGGGCCGGACCCGAAAGAAGGUGAACUAUGCCUGUGUAGGGUGAAGCCAGAGGAAACUCUGGUGGAGGCUCGCAGCGGUUCUGACGUGCAAAUCGAUCGUCAAACAUGGGCAUGGGGGGCGAAAGACUAAUCGAACCUUCUAGUAGCUGGUUUCC